rnacentral:lncRNA from 1 species
CAAACACAUCCACACGUCUGUUAGUAGCUCAGGAUCCAACAUGCUUUACACAGCGCAGAGCAAGGCAGCAUGGGAUCAACUGAACUUCAUUGAGAUAUCCCGAGGGUUUUAUUGCUCUACGCUUGUCCAAAGGGGACUUCCAGAGUUACUGGUGCCAACGCCACACAGGUGACCUACACGUAUAUGAGUAUGAAAAGUACAUGGUGUGAGUGGAACACAGAGGAGUCCAAGGAGUCCACUGGAAGCCCAGUUCAGAUCUCACCCUACGGAUUAUAACACCCACUCACUAGAGCACAGCCCAUGUCCUCAAUAACCCCAGUUAUAAUAAAACACUCACUCACUACAGCACAGACCAAGAUGGAGAGGGAUGGAGUGCUGCAUCAGAUGACCUGGCCUCCGCAAUCAGCCAACCUCAACCCAUUUGAGAUGGUUUGGGAUGAGUUGGACCGCAGAGUGAAGGAAAAGCAGCCAACAAGUGCUCAGCAUAAUAUGGACCUGAGCCCUAGGACCAUGCCUCAGGACUACCUGGCUUGAUGACUCCUUGCUGUCCCCAGUUCACCUGGCCGUGCUGCUGCUCCAGUUCCAACUGUUCUGCCUGCAGCUAUGGAACCCUGACCUGUUCACCGGACGUGCUACCUGUCCCAGACCUGUUGUCCCAGACCUGCUGGAACCCUGACCUAUUCACCGGACGUCCUACCUGUCCCAGAGUUGCUGUCCCAGACCUGCUGGAACCCUGACCUGUUCACCGGACGUGCUACCUGUCCCAGACCUGCUGUUUUCAACUCUCUAGAGACAGCAGGAGUGGUAGAGAUACUCUCAAAGAUCGGCUAUGAAAAAGCCAACUGACACUUACUCUUGUGUUACUGACUUGUUGCACCCUCGACAACUACUAUGAUUAUUAUUAUUUGACAAUGCUGGUCAUUUAUGAACAUUUGAACAUCUAGGCCAUGUGCUGUUAUAAUCUCCACCCAGCACAGCCAGAAGAGGACUGGCCACCCCUCAUAGCCUGGUUCCUCUCUAGGUUUCUUCCUAGGUUCUGGCCUUUCUAGGGAGUUUUUCCUAGCCACCGUGCUUCUACACCUGCAUUGCUUGCUGUUUGGGGUUUUAGGCUGGGUUUCUGUACAGCACUUUGUGAUAUCAGCUGAUGUAAGAAGGGC